CCUACGGGUGGCAGCAGUGGGGAAUAUUGCACAAUGGGCGAAAGCCUGAUGCAGCAACGCCGCGUGAAGGAAGAAGGGUUUAGGAUCGUAAACUUCUAUCAAGAGAGACGAAAGAAAUGACGGUACCUGAAUAAGAAGCCGCGGCUAACGACGUGCCAGCAGCCGCGGUAAUAAGUAGGGGGGAAGCGUUACCCGGAAUUACUGGGUGUAAAGGGUGAGUAGGCGGCAUGGUAAGCCAGAUGUGAAAUCCUUGGGCUUAACCCGAGGAUUGCAUUUGAAACGAUCAGGCUAGAGUACAGGAGAGGAAAGUGGAAUUCCUUGUGUAGCGGUGAAAUGCGUAGAUAUUAGGAAGAACACCAGUGGCGAAGGCGGCUUUUUGGACUGAAACUGACGCUGAGGCACGAAAGCGUGGGGAGCGAACAGGAUUAGAUACCCUUGUAGUC
rnacentral:rRNA from 1 species